ensembl:snRNA U6 U6 spliceosomal RNA
GUGCUCACUUUAGCAGCACAUAUACUAAAUUUGGAAUGAUACAGAGAAGAUUAUCACAGCCUCUUUGCAAAGAUGAUACAUAAAUUUGUGAUACAUUCCAUAUUUUU